rnacentral:rRNA from 1 species
CCUACGGGGUGCUGCAGUGGGGAAUAUUGGACAAUGGGCGAAAGCCUGAUCCAGCCAUGCCGCGUGUGUGAAGAAGGCCUUCGGGUUGUAAAGCACUUUCAGUGGGGAAGAAAGCCUUGGGGCUAAUACCCUCGAGGAAGGACAUCACCCACAGAAGAAGCACCGGCUAACUCCGUGCCAGCAGCCGCGGUAAUACGGAGGGUGCGAGCGUUAAUCGGAAUUACUGGGCGUAAAGCGCGCGUAGGCGGUCUGAUAAGCCGGUUGUGAAAGCCCCGGGCUCAACCUGGGAACGGCAUCCGGAACUGUCAGGCUAGAGUGCAGGAGAGGAAGGUAGAAUUCCCGGUGUAGCGGUGAAAUGCGUAGAGAUCGGGAGGAAUACCAGUGGCGAAGGCGGUCUUCUGGACUGACACUGACGCUGAGGUGCGAAAGCGUGGGUAGCAAACAGGAUUAGAUACCCUGGUAGUC